AAACUUACCUGGAGGGGGAGAUAACAUGAUAACAGGUGGUCUUCCCAAGGUGAGGUUUAUCUAUUGUACCAGGAUGUGCUGACCCCCGUGAUUUUCCCAAAAGAGGGAAACUCGACUGCAUAAUUUGUGGUAGUGAGGUG
ensembl:snRNA U1 U1 spliceosomal RNA